rnacentral:rRNA from 1 species
GAUGAACGCUGGCGGCGUGCCUAAUACAUGCAAGUCGAGCGAACAGACGAGGAGCUUGCUUCUCUGACGUUAGCGGCGGACGGGUGAGUAACACGUGGAUAACCUACCUAUAAGACUGGGAUAACUUCGGGAAACCGGAGCUAAUACCGGAUAAUAUAUUGAACCGCAUGGUUCAAUAGUGAAAGACGGUUUUGCUGCCACUUAUAGAUGGAUCCGCGCCGCAUUAGCUAGUUGGUAAGGUAACGGCUUACCAAGGCAACGAUGCGUAGCCGACCUGAGAGGGUGAUCGGCCACACUGGAACUGAGACACGGUCCAGACUCCUACGGGAGGCAGCAGUAGGGAAUCUUCCGCAAUGGGCGAAAGCCUGACGGAGCAACGCCGCGUGAGUGAUGAAGGUCUUCGGAUCGUAAAACUCUGUUAUUAGGGAAGAACAAAUGUGUAAGUAACUAUGCACGUCUUGACGGUACCUAAUCAGAAAGCCACGGCUAACUACGUG